AUGUUGAUGGGGUUUGUAAAGUGCUUUUAAGUGACUUGUUUUUUUUUUGUUUCCUUUUUCAAUAGGGACCUCCUGGUCCACCAGGGCUACCAGGACCCAAGGUACUGUCUUUCUCAUAUUGAUGGACUGUUUUCUUUCUCUUUCUGUUUGUGACUUCUAAGGCCUGAUGAGUUAUACUUUUUGCAGGGUAAUAUGGGUUUGAAUUUCCAAGGACCCAAAGGUGAAAAAGGUGAACAAGGUCUUCAGGGACCUCCAGGACCACCAGGACAAAUUGGAGAACAGAAAAGACCAAAUGACAUUGAGUUUCAGAAAGGAGAUCAGGGUAUUCCAGGUGAUCCAGGCCCACCAGGACUUCCUGGGCCUCCAGGCCCUCCUGUGAGUAGAACUCUUAGUUCUAUUUUGUUGCAUCUGUAUCAGAACUGUAACUUCAUUCUACUCUGGCUUGUGGGCUCAGUUUAAGAUGACGUUUGUGUGUCCAGGGUCUUCCCGGUGGUGUGAAAGGUGAAAAAGGUGAGCAAGGAGAACCAGGCAAAAGAGUAAGUAGUCUGUUUAACCAAACAUUUGUCUUUCCAUUCAGUGUUAUCUUUGACAAUUAAGCAAAUGUUGAAUUCAGGUGGGGCCAUCAGCUUAUGGGUAAGAGACUACUUCUUUUUCCUUGUAACCCGGCAACUUGCAGAUGACGCACAGAGGUCAUGACAGUGCUUCUAGCUAUGGCUCUCUGUGCUUUCUGAUAGAAUUAUCUACAUGUAGAUCUUAGUUUAGGGGGCAGGAGAAAAUAAUUUAAAUUAUGUUAUCUGGUUAACAUGUGAAAACCUUCAAAGUUGCUGGACUGCUUGUCUGAAGCAGCAGUUUUCUGUUUCCUUUUAAAAAGGGUCUUCAUUCCGUUUGCUCUGUACUGGGUUGCCAAGCAGCAUGAGAUUGGUGUGUAUGUGUGUAUAUAUAUAUAUAAGCUGGUCCAUCUAAACUCAUUCUUAGUGGGUUUGCUUGUGAGGUGAGUCACAAAACCAAGUCUCAGAACCCUGUUAAGACCAAAAAUAGUCCAUUUGUCACUUCCCAAGAGAUUGCCUCAAUUUAUGUGCUGCCUGCAGAGGGCAGGAGUCAGGAUAGCUUUUUCUAGGGAUAGCAAGAGUUGCUUUGUUCCUGAUCAGACUCAAAUCAAUCCUGGAAUUUAAAUGUACUUGGAUAUCACAGCUCAAAA
rnacentral:lncRNA from 1 species